GGGGGAGCCGCGGAGGCCUGGGUAUAUAUAGGGGACGGAGGUGCGGCGUUGAGGGUAUACAGAUAUUUUUUUACAGUAAAGGAGGCAGCUCAAGGGAAAAAAAGAAAUUGUGAGGAAAAAACCCGCUAAUCGCUGCUCCUUUACGUUGCUUAGGUGAAGGUCGAGUUUGGGGAACAUGCUUAUCUACGCGUGGCCUCAGUGCUCAUUCUCCGUCACAUUGCCCCUGAGCAUGUGGUGGGUGUGACGUCCGGGUUAUCACAGUUUGCCUUCCUCAGGUUUCGCCAGGUACCCAUUUCUCGAUCAGCCCGAAAGGGAGGAUGAGAAGCUGGGGUGGUCUGUGCGGCGACUGUCCGGGCCGGGAUUCGAACCCACGCACUCGGAUUCGUAGCUAGGCGUGUUAACCAUUACCCCACGAAGGCCUUGGAGUUUACAUAGGGAGGUAUAGGAAAUUUUGUUUAGGGUGGGAGAGUAUAUAGUUUAGGGUUUAGGGUGUGGUGUUCAUUGAGGGUAUAGGGUAGUUAGGUGAGGUUUGUUUAGGGUAUAGGGUAGUUAGGUGAGGUUUGUUUAGGGUAUAGGGUAGUUAGGUGAUGUUUGUUUAGGGUAUAGGGUAGUUAGAUGAUGUUUGUUUAGGGUAUAGGGUAGUUAGGUGAUGUUUGUUUAGGGUAUAGGGUAGUUAGGUGAUGUUUGUUUAGGGUAUAGGGUAGUUAGAUGAUGUUUGUUUAGGGUAUAGGGUAGUUAGAUGAUGUUUGUUUAGGGUAUAGGGUAGUUAGGUGAGGUUUGUUUAGGGUAUAGGGUAGUUAGAUGAUGUUUGUUUAGGGUAUAGGGUAGUUAGAUGAUGUUUGUUUAGGGUAUAGGGUAGUUAGAUGAUGUUUGUUUAGGGUAUAGGGUAGUUAGAUGAUGUUUGUUUAGGGUAUAGGGUAGUUAGAUGAUGUUUGUUUAGGGUAUAGGGUAGUUAGGUGAGGUUUGUUUAGGGUAUUGAAUUGUUUCGUUCGGUAUAAGGUAGAAAGAGUUAUAGGGUUAGGAGACAGUGACAUGAAGGGACGUUAAACUCACACCUUUGAUUAAC